CGGGUGAGUAACGCGUGGAUAACCUGCCUCACACUGGGGGAUAACAGUUAGAAAUGACUGCUAAUACCGCAUAAGCGCACAGUACCGCAUGGUACAGUGUGAAAAACUCCGGUGGUGUGAGAUGGAUCCGCGUCUGAUUAGCCAGUUGGCGGGGUAACGGCCCACCAAAGCGACGAUCAGUAGCCGACCUGAGAGGGUGACCGGCCACAUUGGGCUGAGACACGGCCCAA
rnacentral:rRNA from 1 species